ACAAGCGGAGGAGCAUGUGGUUUAAGUUCGAUGAUACGCGAGGAACCUUACCUGGGCUCGAACGUAAGAUGACUGUAGGUGAAAGCUUACAUCUCUUCGGAGCAUUUUACGAGGUGCUGCAUGGUUGUCGUCAGCUCGUGCCGUGAGGUGUCGGGUUAAGUCCCAUAACGAGCGCAACCCCUGCAUUCAGUUGCCAUCGGGUAAUGCCGGGCACUCUGGAAGGACUGCCAUCGACAAGAUGGAGGAAGGUGGGGAUGACGUCAAGUCAUCAUGGCCCUUAUGUCCAGGGCGACACACGUGCUACAAUGGCCGGCACAACGGGAAGCGAGUUCGCGAGGACAAGCGGAUCCCUUAAAGCCGGUCGCAGUUCGGAUUGAAGUCUGCAACUCGACUUCAUGAAGCUGGAAUCGCUAGUAAUCGUGGAUCAGCCAAGCCGCGGUGAAUACGUUCCCGGGCCUU
rnacentral:rRNA from 1 species